GCGAGUCUGAAUAGGGCGAAUGAGUAUUUGGUCGUAGACCCGAAACCAGGUGAUCUACCCUUGGUCAGGUUGAAGUUCAGGUAACACUGAAUGGAGGACCGAACCGACUUACGUUGAAAAGUGAGCGGAUGAACUGAGGGUAGCGGAGAAAUUCCAAUCGAACUUGGAGAUAGCUGGUUCUCUCCGAAAUAGCUUUAGGGCUAGCCUCAAGUGAUGAUUAUUGGAGGUAGAGCACUGUUUGGACGAGGGGCCCCUCUCGGGUUACCGAAUUCAGACAAACUCCGAAUGCCAAAUAAUUUAACUUGGGAGUCAGAAUGUGGGUGAUAAGGUCCAUAUUCGAAAGGGAAACAGCCCAGACCACCAGCUAAGGUCCCAAAAUAUAUGUUAAGUGGAAAAGGAUGUGGCGUUGCCCAGACAACUAGGAUGUUGGCUUAGAAGCAGCCAUCAUUUAAAGAGUGCGUAAUAGCUCACUAGUCGAGUGACACUGCGCCGAAAAUGUACCGGGGCUAAACAUAU
rnacentral:rRNA from 1 species